UACGUAGGGGGCAAGCGUUGUCCGGAAUCAUUGGGCGUAAAGCGCGUGUAGGCGGCUCGGUAAGUCUGCUGUGAAAGUCCAGGGCUCAACCCUGGGAUGCCGGUGGAUACUGUCGAGCUCGAGUCCGGAAGAGGCGAGUGGAAUUCCUGGCGUAGCGGUGAAAUGCGCAGAUAUCAGGAGGAACACCAAUGGCGAAGGCAGCUCGCUGGGACGUGACUGACGCUGAGACGCGAAAGCGUGGGGAGCAAACAGG
rnacentral:rRNA from 1 species